rnacentral:rRNA from 1 species
UUGAACGCUGGCGGCAUGCUUUACACGUGCAAGUCGAACGGCAGCGGGGGCUUCGGCCUGCCGGCGAGUGGCGAACGGGUGAGUAACACGUGGGUGAUCUGCCCUGCACUCUGGGAUAAGCCUGGGAAACUGGGUCUAAUACUGGAUAUGACCUGCUCUCGCAUGGGGGUGGGUGGAAAGAUUUAUCGGUGCAGGAUGGGCCCGCGGCCUAUCAGCUUGUUGGUGGGGUAAUGGCCUACCAAGGCGACGACGGGUAGCCGACCUGAGAGGGUGACCGGCCACACUGGGACUGAGACACGGCCCAGACUCCUACGGGAGGCAGCAGUGGGGAAUAUUGCACAAUGGGCGAAAGCCUGAUGCAGCGACGCCGCGUGAGGGAUGAAGGCCUUCGGGUUGUAAACCUCUUUCAGCAGGGACGAAGCGUGAGUGACGGUACCUGCAGAAGAAGCACCGGCUAACUACGU